rnacentral:lncRNA from 1 species
AAUGUCUCGCAAACCGGAAAACAAACGUUAAAUCCGGAAAUUAAAACAAAACUAAGGAAACCAAAAAAAAAAAAGCAGAUGAUAAAAUCAAAGGUGAGGAGGGAGAUAAAGUUUUUUUUUUUUGAUGUUUACACAAAGCAAAGAAGCAGUGAAAUUAAGCAUCGGUGAAGCUUGCUGGCUUGUAGGCGAUGAAACUGAUGCACUGGACUUGACGGGUGUUGUCGAAUCCGAUGAUCCUAAUGAAGGCCUGGGGGUACUCCUUCUUGCACUCUUGCACUUCCUUCAACACUUGAGCUGAGUCAGUGCAUCCGAACAAAGGAAGCUUCCACAUUGUCCAGUACCGUCCAUCGUAGUAUCCGGGAGUGCUUCCGUGCUCACGGUGCACAAAUGCGUUCUACAAAAACACAUUACACAAAACCAUUCAAAAACAUAAAUCAAGAUUCUGCUUAGGACCUCUAAAUAGUUAUUAACUUGAUUGCAAGAUUCAUAUGGUCCAAGAGAUCAAGCUACUCUAUAAAUGAUUUUUAUUACCUCCAACUCGAAUUCAACACAGGGAAUCCACUUGUUGCGGAGAAGGUAGUCAACUUCCUUAGCCAAUUCAACUUCGGUUAGGUCAGGAAGGUAAGAGAGAGUCUCAAACUUCUUCUUACCAAUAGGAGGCCACACCUAUUUUUUGCCAUUUUUCCAAAAUCAACAAAAACAAUAUUAGUUUAUAUGAUUCGAUAAAUCAAAAACCCAUAAAUUUGUUUUUGGUAUAAGAGAUUUGACCUGCAUGCAGUUAACUCUUCCGCCGUUGCUUGCGAUGGAAGUAAUGUCGUUGUUGGCCUUACGGGUCACAGGGAAAGCAGCGGAGGACUUAAGUCCGGUGAAAGGUGCGACCAUUGUGGCCUGAGCCGGAGAAGCGACCAUUGUAGCGGAAGAGAGCAUAGAGGAAGCCAUAUUGCCUUUACUCUUUUUGUGUGUGACUUAGGUUUGGUCUAGUGCUUUGGUCAUCUAUAUAUAAUGGUAACAACAAUGAUAACAAGGUGAGGGAGUGAUCGGAGGGCUCAGGAUCCAUGAGAUUGAAGUUGAAUAGGAUUAAGACCGUUGGAUUUUUGAGUGGAUAUGUGUGAGGCUUAAUUACAUGGUAACGGCCACAAAGCCUAAAGGAAAGGUGUUGAGACCCUUAUCGGUUUGAAUCACUAGAAAAAUGCCACGUGGAAGAUAAUUCCAUGAAUCUUAUCGUUAUCUAUGAGUGAAAAUCUGUGAUGGUGGUGCUACUCAUUUUAUUUUCCGGUGUGGGUUUAGCCUCUUCCUUUGGGGGAGAUAAAUAUUACUACUUAAAAGGCUUUUAAAUUUUCAUUUUCUUUUUAAACCUUGGGUUUGAUUAACGAUAACGUCAGGCCCAAAGUGAUUGUAGAAAAAUAUUGUAGUCAGAUUGCAAGGUGAUGUGAAUUUUUAAUUUACUAAUAGCAUCUCCAAGAAAUAACUUUUACAUUUUAAGUAUGUUAGAUCUUAAAUUUAAUGUUUGAAGGCAGGACAUAUCUCUAAAGGCAACUUCAAAUUUUCAAAUAUGAGGUUUUGUUCACCCCAAAAUAGCAUUAAAACUUUAAAUUUGAGGUUUAUAAUUUUUUAUUUACAUUUUAAUCUUUACAAUUAUAUAUUUCAUAAAUAAUUAUUUUAUUUUUAGCUUUACUAUUCUAAUCCAAACAAUUUUAUAUCUCAUGAAUACUUCACAUUUCUCUUUAUAAAUUUUAUAUUUGCAUAUAAAAUGAAAUUACAAACUAAAAUUAAAAAUACCAAUAUGAAAUAAUAUUACAUAACAUAAGAACCAAAUUUUACACAACAACAAUAUUACAUUUAAAAAUUUUAAUACAAAAUAAAGUAACAAAAAUAUAUAUAUAUAAAGUAGCAUAAAAACUUCAAUAUUACACAAUUGAAAAUAGUACAACAAAACUAAUAUUCCGGUAAGUAAUAAAGUUGUAUGAUAUUUAUUAAUAAUGAUAUAAAUAAGGAUUAUAAUGUAAUAUUUUAAAAUUUGUGAUAUUGGAUUUGAGGUUUUGCUUUUGGAGACAAACACCAUCAAACCUCAAAUAUGAGGUUUGACCAACUCAAAUUUGAAGUCCUCUUUGGAGCAGUGGCGGAGGCAGCAUAGUUUUAGAAGGGUCAACUGACCCAAGUAAAAUUCUUAAAAAAAUAAAAUUGUUCUUGAUUUUUUUUUUUAAUUUAUCCAUCUUCCAAGCCCAAAAUAAGAAUUGACCCCCCUAGAAUUUAAAAUUUAUUUUAAUCCUGACCCAUGUAACUAGUUUUCUUGCCUCCACCACUGUUUUGGAGAUACUCUAAAUGAUAAAACCACAAAAUAAAAUUUCAAAACAAAAUUGUUUUUUAUUUUGCAUUAUAAUGUUUUAUUAUGGAUUAUAAUUACCUAAAUCAUAGAACUUUUAUAAAUAGCUACAAAAAUAUAUAUUAGAAAAUAUUACAAGCAAUACUAUAAAAUUUUGAUAUUAAAUUACAUAUAAAUAACAAUAAAGCACAAAAUAAAUCAUAAAUUACAAUUAAAAUACCAAACUAAUGAAUGAAACUAUUACCAUAGUGCUCCAAAAUUAUUUAGCAUCUAUAUUUUUAUUGUAAUUUGCUUGAUAAAUGUAAAAUUUUUAUGAGAUAUAAAACUGUAGGAGCUCAACUUAUAAACAGAAAAAUUAUUACGAUUAUUUUUUAAAUAUAUAAUUGUAAAGAUUGAAUGUAAAUGAAACACAUAAAAUAUUAAAUUUGAGGUUUUGAGAGUUCUAUGUCAAAUUCUUAUCUUUUUAUAGAGUUUAUUAUCAUAUUUUCACGGGAACACACAUAAUAUUUAUCUUGAUUUCGUACAUUAAAUUUUGAUUAAUAUCGAGUUGUGGCUGUCCAUAGGAUUGUUUGAUUUCACUUGGUGAACUAAUGAUCCACGAGAUAGCGAACUCAAUAAUUAGAUGUUGAAUGAGCUUCUCAUACCAUAGGCCUUUUUAAGUUUUUAAUGAUAAUAAGCUUUUUCUUUUCUGAACCAUGCUUUAAUAUGAGAUCUGAAUCUGAUACCAAACAACAUGUAAAGUAUGAUCACAUGUAAGCUUCUUCUAUUUAACGGAAAUUUCUAAUUUGCGAUUUAACAUAGCUCUUUGACCAACUCAAUUGGGUUUGCAAUCGAAAUUUAUGGAAUAUAUCUUCGAUCAAAUGAUAUCUAAAGAGUUCUCUACUAGAAAGCUCAUAACUUAUGUAUGUAUUUUUCUUUUCUAUAAUAAAAUUAAGAAGUAUUUUUAUUAUAUAAAAGAGAAUCUUUCGGUAUGGAAACAACAUGUAGGAUAAUUAUAACUUACGAAAUCGCAACAUAAGUCAUUGUUAAUUUAGAUGGUAACAUUUAUCAAUACAAUAAUAUAAAAUUUCUAAUUUUAGUAAUUUGUUUUUUUUUAAAUUAUGUUUUUUUUUUAAAUUAUGUUUUUUAAAUAACACUAAUAAAAUAGAAAAAGGUAAAAUAAGAGGAAAAAAACAGAAACUAUGAAAUAGAAAAAAUAUAAACUAGAAAAUCUACAAUCUAUAAUAUAUUUUUUUACUUUAAAAAGAUUGUUUAUUAAGUUUGAAUUUUCUAAUGAUAAAUUAAAUAUAAUUUGUGGAUGAGUUAACAAGAUUUUAAUUUAAAAUAUACCUAUAUAUAUACUGAUCUUAAUGAAUUAUCAUUUUUAAAAUCUAAAUAUUUUAACAAUCUUCUGCAAGUCUAGUUAAAUAUAAAACGUAAAAAACUUAUCAAUCCAAUGAUUAGAUAAGAACUAAUAUUUAUCUUACACUAAAUAUAACUUUCAACCUAAUAAACCUAAACUACAUUAGAUCAAUGCUGAAUUAUUAAUAUUUAGAGCUUAAAUCUCUUUAAGAAAAAUAUACAAAAACAAAAUUCUAUCAAAAAACAUAGCAAAUUUAAAAUCGAUUAUAAAUCAAAUGAAGUUUGAGAAAAGACGAAACUAUUUGCAAUUUAAAUUGUGAUGGCGUUUAUUCAAUUUAGUAAAAAGAGGAGCAUUUCAAAAUCAAAUUUAAAGUAGACAGUUUUGGUGAACAUUGACCAAUAUCUGCCAAAUAUGAUAUGACCCCAAACAUAAAUUCAUGAUCAAACACUAAACAUGUUUUCCCAAAUCCAAAAGCUUUAAAAAUUAAAAAUCAAAAUACAAUCAAAAGCAAAACUAAAUCGAUGAAAUUAUAUCAAAUAACAUCGAAAGAAGAGAUUUAAGCUCCACGAUUACGAUUACAUCCACUUGAAAAUAUGGAUCAUCUGAAGAUUAUAGAGUUGCUUGGACAAAUUCUAAGUAGGUGGAAUUUAUCUCACUAAAUUUAAACUACUUUCUUUGGUGUUUUUUUAAUUUUAAUUUCAUCCAUUUAAUUUUAGGCACAUUUGAUUGAGUUUAUAUUUUAGGUCAGAGUCUAAUUUGUGGUAUUGGUUACAAAGAUGAUGAUAAAACAAAAAUUAAUUCGUAGUGAUUUGCGGGAGCAAUUCACAAACCUUACAACAUUUUAUAUAUAAUGCUUAAUUUGAUCAUAUGAUGAAAAUAAUAUUUACAUAACACUAACACUAAAAUCUACACACUGAGUGAUUAGAAACGUUAUAAAGUGAUAAUACAGAAAAAAUAACUAGUUUUGUCAAUCUCCUGUAAUUGACUUUUGCACAAAUUUAUGAUAGUUUUGCAUUAAAAAAUUUGUAAAGAGAAAUAAAUCCUAAAAUAAUCUUACAAACACCUUAGUUUGCUAUAGUAACCUACCUCACACAAAUCCUAACCAAUAUAACCUUACCAAAGUUGGAAAAGAUCUUUUUUCCUAGUUAACUAUUUAUUAACAAAAAUACCAUUAUUUAAAUUAUUUAUUUACGAUCUUUAUUUUUUAAAAAAAUUUCUGAAAUAACAAUUAAAAAUCUUUUCAUUAAUAAAAUUUUUUAUGAAAUAACUAUUAACUUAAUUUGAAAAACUGUUUUGUUGUGACAAAACAACAGACAAAAAAAUUGUCGGUGACGAUGAAGAUGAAGAUGAAUCCGACAUUUCGCUUGUUCUCCAGUGACUCCGUCGAAUCCCGUGUCUUCUUCCCUGAAAUUUUUCUCGAAGUUGUUGUAGCGUCGGCUGUGUAGAGGAAAAGUUUCAGCAUUGGUCGUUAGAUCAUGUAUGAUGAAGUUACAGCUUUUAAAAAUAAAACUAAACAUUAAUUUUUGUGUGUUGCAGGAAUGGACAUUCAUGUAUAGUAUACUUGUUAGAUCAUGUAUGAUGAAGUUAUUGUUUUGUGUAUGUAUUGUAUAGUUGUUGAAUCAUGUAUGAUAUUGUUAUUGUUCCGCGUAUGUAUGGUUGAGUUGUUAAAUCAUGUAUGAUAGAGUUAUUGUUUUUUGUAUGGUAUAGUUGAUUCAUGUAUGAUAGACUUGUUUAACCAUAUAUAGUAUGGUAAUGUUACUGAAUCGUGUAUGAUAUACUUGUUGAAUCAUCUCAAUUGAUGAGUCAACAUCGUCAAUGACAGUUUUGAACUCUAUAUUUUCUAUGAUCUCGACGCAUAGAUAGACCGUCUCGUUUUCAAAUUGACGUAAAAACCCAGCAAAUUGUCGAGUACUUGCUACAAAAACCGGAGAUAUAUCUUAUGAUAGUUUUUGCUUGUAUCUCUUUGAUUUACCAACAAAAUCAAAUCUACCAUCAAAAGAUGGAAGACUUUAUUUUCAACUGAUGGGCUUGCGGGUCUAAGGUAGUUUUUUUUAACAAGCCCGUUGGUUCUCCAAAAGUUUUUAAUUUAUAAAACCUUAGUGUCUGCAAGUGCAUAGAUGUACGUUGUAGGACUUAGGGUGUCGAUCCACAAGGAGAAUGUCUAAUCUGCGAGAAACAACAAACUGGGAAGUAAGCAAAGUCAUAAACCAAUAAAAGUUUUGGGGUUUUUGGUUGAUCUUAAACUAAACCUAAUCUAAUAUUCACAAGAAAUGCAAUGCAUGAUAAAUUGUUAAAAGAACAUCUAAAACAUAUCGACUCAAACUAAAGACUCUUAAACUCAUAGGUGAUGAUUUAGACUUCUCUGGUUUACUCUAAUCAAUGUAUGAUGGCAUUUCCAAUUAGCUUCCGGGCGAUUUAUUUUCAUCUGUUUCUGGGAAUCUGCAUGGAACUAUAAUAGACAUAUGUAUGAUUAACCAAAUCUCGUCACCUUAAUCAACUAAUCUCUUAGAUCUAGAAAUUAACUCUCGCUCUCAUGCUAAACUUAAGAUCAUGCAUUAAACAUUGAAUUUGUCUGCUCACAUCUUCUCUAUAGGUAGCUUUCGACUCCUAUAGCGACUAUGUUCUUCUGAAGCUAGGUAUGGAUGAUCUGAUACAGCACUCUCGUGACUCUGAUCGAUCCUAGGCUCAGAGAAUAGGUCAUGAAUCUACUCUCAUGCUUUAUGAACAACUUAUAAGAGAUGAGAUCCAGAAUAUGGUCUAGAACAAUAGAAAUCCUAAUCGAUAUCUAUGCUUGUCGAUAUCUUCAAACAACUUGAAUCUCUAGACUAAUCUACAUGAUGCAAUAAAUGAUGAAAGACAUAGAAGAAUGCAAAAGAAUGAAACAGAAAAGUUAAUAAGUUAAAAAGGAGAAAGAACAAUGGAUCUGGGGAAAAAUCCCCAUUUCCAUCGCCUAGCCCUAGAAAAACAGAGUUUAGUGGCUCAAAAUCUCAUUACAGGAGCACACACCCGUUUAGAGCUGCUAAACAAUGUAUUUAUAGGUCAUAAGGUCUUCCAGGUCUCAUUUAGGGCUUUUCUGAGGAGAAAUGGCGAAGUGGGUUUUGAUGUUGGGCCUUGUGGCUCGUCCUAAGGUCCACCGGGGGUGAGAGUAUUCCAGGGCAGGUAAAACAUGUGUUUACCGCGGGUGAGAGUCUUUCGGGACUAGUAAACUGAAUCAACUUGUUCUCUUUUGAUUGCACCGGUGGAUAUUUGUGAUGUAAAGUUCUAUGUAAAGCUGGUUGGCUCCUCUUGAUUGUCUCCAAAUUUGAGCUGGAUCAGACGGUGGGAAGACCUUCAUUUGUUACCAAACUUCCGACGGUCUAAUUCGGAGCUGAAAAAGUGGAUUUCUUCCAUUUUGCCAUCAUUUUCCCUAAGUUUCCUGAAAAGAGCCUUGAAACUACAAAUACAUGGAAAUCAUAAUAAAAGUUCCUAAAACUAAGUAAAACCUUUGAAAAAACAUUUGAAAUCAAUGGUGAAAAUGAGUCAAAAUCAGGUGUUAUCAAUUCCCCCAGACUUGAGACUUUGUUUGUCCUCAAACAAAACUAGACCAAAUCUGGAAAAUAUCAUUCAACAAAAAUGAGAAGGAACUUAAAAAUAUCAGCAACCAUACGUCUAGACCUUAAUUAUGGACAAUGGAUCAAUCAGAUCAAGUCUAGAAAAUUCUCACCAAAAUACAAACAUAACUAGUCCGUUAAUCCGUCAUGCGAAAAUCCACACACUUAGAACUAACUUCCAGUCAACUUGCUCUUAACAUUCAUUAAAGGUUUCAAUGGUUCUCAUCAAAAGGAUAUUAAACAAGGCAUUCAAGGUUAGGUAUCAAAGGCUUUUUAAUGGUAAGGCUGAUGUGUUUAGUGUUACAUGUUUCUGGAGAGACAAGAUAUUAUGCAAAACAGCAAGAGAUGAUGGAACUGUAAAUGCUCCCACAGUUUCUGUCACAUUAUUCUUGCUUUAAGAUUUCUGAUCUCUUUUCUUCAAGUUCUCCUUAUAAAUCCCCCAGACUUAGAUUUUUGUCCAGAAUGUGAAUCCAUAACUCCUUAAGUGAAUACCUAAUGACUUGGCUCAAGUGAUUUCGGCUUCUAAGACUCUUUUAGGCUUUUGGUUUCCUUUCCUUUCUUUCUUUUUCUUUUUUUUUUCUUUUUUUUUUUGAAAGGGGAAACUGCCUUUUGACUUGGAGUCUUAGGGAGCACGAAAAUUACCUUUAAGAAUGAGUUUUUCUGAGGCAUCAUACGAUUUCUGGCACACUCCCUUCUGGUCUCUUUCAGUCUUUCUCUUGAGUGACUGAAAACUGUGUUGUUCCUCCCUCUCCGACGUUUUUGCACAUAUCUGUCAAAUUAGACCUAAAAGAAUGUAAGAAAUUAGAACAUGAAGAUUUGGGUUAAGGCUGUGGUACCAGCUAAUGAUGAACUGGCCAUCUAGGACAACAAAGAAUGGUAACAAUAAGGUAAAGAUGUCCAAGAUGUAUAUCAUGAUGCCUUUUUAAAACCAUUGAUGAGAAAAUUAGAUGUCAAGAUUAAGUCCAAGUAGAAUGAGCUAGUAUAUCCUGUCAGAAAUGAUCUUCAUGAAUAGAAGUCUUCUGGUGGGAUUUUGUAGUGUAAGUAUUCUAGCUACUGCAUAGUCUAGUACUAAACCUUGAAAGAGCUUUCAUGAGUGAUUGGUGUAGAAGCAAACAGGUUGGUUAUCAUCAUCGAUUUUUUCAUUAUUCUUUCAAAAUGUAUUUGACCCUUUGAAAACACUUUUUGAAACUCAAAAGACUUUUGAAAAGUUUUUAAACAAUCGAAAAAAUGAAAAAUUUUAAAGAAAAUGCAGAAUGCAAGGGCUCAUGCAAGAAAAAGUGGUUAGAAAGGGAUGAAAUCCUCCCCCAGACUUAAAUCACACUGUCCCCAGUGUGAAAUAAAUCAGGAAAGGAUGAGAAAUAGAGUAUGUAAGAAUUUAAAAAGAUUAAGGAAGGGAGAAGUUACCUGGUGAUGGUGAUGGAUUGUGAGGUGGUUGUGGUGGUGAUGCUUGAUCAAACUUGGAUGCUAGGAAUCCAAAACAGAUUUGAUCAAGGUGGUGGUGGAAGUGGCCGAGGGUGGCCGGCUGGUGCUGGCCGCGGAUGAAGACAUCCCGGCCACGGUAGGACGCGUGCUGGCCGCGGUUGAAAGCAUCGCGGCCGCGGUGGAAAGCUUGAUGGCCGCGGCUGAACCUCCUUUGGCCGCGGUCAGCUCCUUUUUUUUGUGGCAUACUAAGACCUGUCUAAAAUGAAAGAAACAAAACUUUAAUAGAAAAUGAAAGCUAAACAAAAGCAAAUAAGUACCUAAAUGGGUUGCCUCCCAUUUAGCGCUUUGCUUUAUAGUCCUUAGCUAGACUUUGCAAAGAAAAAGACUUAGUUCAAAUAGAAUCUUGUCUUAAGACAAGUCUUUUUAGAAAUCUUCCUGUUCUCUCUUGCAAGUUCUUCAUCACUGCAGAGUUCUUCUGGUUCAAAUGUCUAGGCUUUAUGCUUUCCUCUUUUACUCUUAAGUAGUGUAGCUUCAUAGAAGAUAUCCUUGUCGAUAUUGGAAAAAGAAACUCUCCUGUUGGGCCAAUCCAUGAUGGCUCCAGCAGUUGCUAGGAAAUGCUAUCUAAGAAUAACUGGAUAAGAGUCAUCUUUGUUCUUCACUAUGUAUAGAUCGACAGGUGCAAUGCAAUCUCCA